rnacentral:rRNA from 1 species
AUUGAACGCUGGCGGCAUGCUUUACACAUGCAAGUCGAACGGUAACAGGCCGCAAGGUGCUGACGAGUGGCGGACGGGUGAGUAAUGCAUCGGAACGUGCCCAGUCGUGGGGGAUAACUACUCGAAAGAGUAGCUAAUACCGCAUACGAUCUAUUGAUGAAAGCGGGGGACCGUAAGGCCUCGCGCGAUUGGAGCGGCCGAUGUCAGAUUAGGUAGUUGGUGGGGUAAAGGCUCACCAAGCCAACGAUCUGUAGCUGGUCUGAGAGGACGACCAGCCACACUGGGACUGAGACACGGCCCAGACUCCUACGGGAGGCAGCAGUGGGGAAUUUUGGACAAUGGGCGCAAGCCUGAUCCAGCAAUGCCGCGUGCAGGAAGAAGGCCUUCGGGUUGUAAACUGCUUUUGUACGGAAAGAAACGGAUCUGGUUAAUACCCGGGGCUAAUGACGGUACCGUAAGAAUAAGCACCGGCUAACUACGUG